AUUAUACCGUGAAACUGCGAAUGGCUCAUUAAAUCAGUUAUCGUUUAUUUGAUAGUACCUUACUACUUGGAUAACCGUGGUAAUUCUAGAGCUAAUACAUGCUAAAAACCCCAACUUCGGGAGGGGUGUAUUUAUUAGAUAAAAAACCAACGCCCUUCGGGGCUUCUUGGUGAUUCAUGAUAACUUUACGGAUCGCAUGGCCUUGCGCCGGCGACGGUUCAUUCAAAUUUCUGCCCUAUCAACUUUCGAUGGUAAGGUAUUGGCUUACCAUGGUUUCAACGGGUAACGGGGAAUUAGGGUUCGAUUCCGGAGAGGGAGCCUGAGAAACGGCUACCACAUCCAAGGAAGGCAGCAGGCGCGCAAAUUACCCAAUCCCGACACGGGGAGGUAGUGACAAUAAAUACUGAUACAGGGCUCUUUUGGGUCUUGUAAUUGGAAUGAGUACAAUUUAAACCUCUUAACGAGGAACAAUUGGAGGGCAAGUCUGGUGCCAGCAGCCGCGGUAAUUCCAGCUCCAAUAGCGUAUAUUAAAGUUGUUGCAGUUAAAAAGCUCGUAGUUGAAACUUGGGUCUGGCUGGCAGGUCCGCCUCACCGCGUGUACUUGUCCGGCCGGGCCUUCCUUCUGGAGAACCUCAUGCCCUUCACUGGGCGUGUUGGGGACCAGGACUUUUACUUUGAAAAAAUUAGAGUGUUCAAAGCAGGCCUUUGCUCGAAUACGUUAGCAUGGAAUAAUAGAAUAGGACGUGCGGUCCUAUUUUGUUGGUUUCUAGGACCGCCGUAAUGAUUAAUAGGGACAGUCGGGGGCAUCAGUAUUCAAUUGUCAGAGGUGAAAUUCUUGGAUUUAUUGAAGACUAACUACUGCGAAAGCAUUUGCCAAGGAUGUUUUCAUUAAUCAGUGAACGAAAGUUAGGGGAUCGAAGACGAUCAGAUACCGUCGUAGUCUUAACCGUAAACUAUGCCGACUAGGGAUCGGGCGAUGUUCUUUUUCUGACUCGCUCGGCACCUUACGAGAAAUCAAAGUUU
rnacentral:rRNA from 1 species